UUCCUUGGCUCAGUCCUCACAGUUGCUCUACAACUCAGAGCAGCAACUGCUGAGGCUGCCUUGGGAAGAGGAUGAUCCUAAACAAAGCUCUGAUGCUGGGGGCCCUCGUCCUGACCACCGUGAUAAACCCCUGUGGAGGUGAAGACAUUGUGGCUGACCACAUUGCCUCCUAUGGCGUGAACUUCUACCAGUCGUACGGUCACUCUGGCCAGUACACCCAUGAAUUUGAUGGAGAUGAGGAGUUCUACGUGGACCUGGAGACAAAGGAGACUGUCUGGCGGUUGCCUAUGUUUAGCAAAUUUAUAAGUUUUGACCCGCAGAGUGCGCUGAGAAAUAUGGCUGUGGGAAGACACACCUUGGAAUUCAUGAUUAAACAGUCCAACUCGACUGCCGCUACCAAUGAGGUUCCUGAGGUCACAGUGUUUUCCAAGUCUCCCAUGGCGCUGGGUCAGCCCAACACCCUCAUCUGCCUUGUGGACAACAUCUUUCCUCCCGUGGUCAACAACACAUGGCUGAGCAAUGGGCACUCUGUCACAGAAGGUGUUUCUGAAACCAGCUUCCUCUCCUCCUUCUUCAAGAUCAGUUACCUCACCUUCCUCCCUUCUGCUGAUGAGAUUUUUGACUGCAAGGUGGAGCACUGGGGCCUAGAUGGGCCUCUUCUGAAACACUAGGAGCCUGAGAUUCCAGUCCCUAUGUCAGAGCUCACAGAGACUGUGGUCUGCGCCCUGGGGUUGUCUGUGGGCCUCGUGGGCAUUGUGGUGGGCACUGUCUUCAUCAUCCAAGGCCUGUGUUCAGUUGAUGAUUCCAGACACCAAGGGCCCUUGUGAAUCCCAUCCUGGAGGGGAAGGUGCAUUGCCAUCUGCAGGAGCAGAAGAGUGGAUGUGCUACAUGACAUAGCACUAUUCUCUGGCCUGAUAUAUCAUAACCCUUUUCUCCUCUGAAUGUUGCUCCUCUCACCUGUUCUCUAGUACUUAAGAUGCUGUAUUCCCUAAGAGCUCACAAAAGCCUUUCAAUUAUUUCCCUGACCUCCUGAAUGUUUUUCUUUUUUCAAAUGUUACCUACUAACUGAUGCCUGGGUAAGCCACUCAGCUACCUUAUUCCUCAGUGACCUUUACCUAAAAUCUUCAUGAAAGCAAUAAAUUCUCUUUUCUGAGGCCUCUUUUGAAUUUUUCCCAUCUUUCAUCUUAGGGCUGACUGGGAGCAUAACCAAGAAUGGGAGAUUCUUAUGUUUCAGAUCAAUUUCAUCUCAUUUCUCAGAUCACAUUUUGUGCCCAGUAACACAGGAGCAACCAAGUACAGUGUAUCCUGAUAAUUCGUUGAUCUCUUAGCUGGGGUUAAUAUUUCCUUCUUCCUUUUGUUCCUACCCUUGGCCACUGCCACCCAUCCCUCAAUUCAGGUACCAAUGAGGAAGGUAAUAGAUACCCUCUGCCCUUGGCUCAGAAUGGUUAUAGCAGAAACACAAACAAAACAAAACAAAAAAAUAAGUCUGUACUAAUUUUAAUAUGGCUUU